GACGAACGCUGGCGGCGUGCCUAAUACAUGCAAGUCGAACGCACUGACGUCGACAGAAGGUGCUUGCACUGGAAGUUGAUUGACGUGAGUGGCGGACGGGUGAGUAACACGUGAGUAACCUGCCCUUAAGCGGGGGAUAACAUUUGGAAACAGAUGCUAAUACCGCAUAAAAGUUGAGAUCACAUGGUCUUAAUUUGAAAGACGGCCUUUGGCUGUCACUUAAGGAUGGACCCGCGGCGUAUUAGCUAGUUGGUGAGAUAAUAGCCCACCAAGGCGAUGAUACGUAGCCGACCUGAGAGGGUAAUCGGCCACAUUGGGACUGAGACACGGCCCAAACUCCUACGGGAGGCAGCAGUAGGGAAUCUUCCACAAUGGACGAAAGUCUGAUGGAGCAACGCCGCGUGAGUGAAGAAGGUUUUCGGAUCGUAAAACUCUGUUGUUGGAGAAGAACAGGGACUAGAGUAACUGUUAGUCCUUUGACGGUAUCCAACCAGAAAGUCACGGCUAACUACGUGCCAGCAGCCGCCGUAA
rnacentral:rRNA from 1 species